rnacentral:rRNA from 1 species
GCGGCGGACGGGUGAGUAACGCGUGGGUAACAGCCUGUAAGACUGGGAUAACUCCGGGAAACCGGGGCUAAUACCGGAUGGUUGCUGAACCGCAUGGUUGAAACAUAAAAGGUGGCUUCGGCUACCACUUACAGAUGGGCCCGCGGCGCAUUAGCUAGUUGGUGAGGUAACGGCUCACCAAGGCAACGAUGCGUAGCCGACCUGAGAGGAUGAUCGGCCACACUGGGACUGAGACACGGCCCAGACUCCUACGGGAGGCAGCAGUAGGGAAUCUUCCGCAAUGGACGAAAGUCUGACGGAGCAACGCCGCGUGAGUGAUGAAGGUUUUCGGAUCGUAAAGCUCUGUUGUUAGGGAAGAACAAGUGCCGUUCGAAUAGGGGGGCACCUUGACGGUACCUCACCAGAAAGCCACGACUAACUACGUGCCAGCAGCCGCGGUAAU